UACGGAGGGUGCAAGCGUUAGUCGGAAUUACUGGGCGUAAAGGGUGCGUAGGCGGGCAGAUAAGUCAGUUGUGAAAUUCCGGGGCUCAACCCCGGAGCAGCAACUGAAACUAUCUAUCUAGAGGGAUGGCGGAGAAAACGGAAUUCCACGUGUAGCGGUGAAAUGCGUAGAUAUGUGGAAGAACAUCUGUGGCGAAGGCGGUUUUCUAGCCUCCCCCUGACGCUGAGGCACGAAAGCGAGGGGAGCAAACAGG
rnacentral:rRNA from 1 species